rnacentral:ncRNA from 1 species
ACAUAAUUUAGACUUGAGGUUGCUAUUUUUUUUCAGGCGAACAAUAAUAGUACGCGAAUACGCGGGAGUAAAUGCUUUUCUC